rnacentral:rRNA from 1 species
AGAGUUUGAUCCUGGCUCAGGAUGAACGCUGGCGGCACGCCUAACACAUGCAAGUCGAACGGAGCUUAUGAAGCUUGCUUUAAUAACUUAGUGGCGGACGGGUGAGUAACACGUGAGCAACCUGCCUUUCAGAGAGGGAUAGCUUCUGGAAACGGAUGGUAAUACCUCAUAACAUAUUGGUACGGCAUCGUAUUAAUAUCAAAGAUUUAUCGCUGAAAGAUGGGCUCGCGUCUGAUUAGCUGGUUGGUGAGGUAACGGCCCACCAAGGCAACGAUCAGUAGCCGGACUGAGAGGUUGAACGGCCACAUUGGGACUGAGACACGGCCCAGACUCCUACGGGAGGCAGCAGUGGGGAAUAUUGCACAAUGGGCGCAAGCCCUGAUGCAGCGAUGCCGCGUGAGGGAAGAAGGUUUUCGGAUUGUAAACCUCUGUCAUCGGGGACGAAAAUGACGGUACCCGAGAAGGAAGCUCCGGCUAACUACGUGCCAGCCGCGGC